CUGUGGGAGAAGUGUGGGGGAUGAUCAAGAGGAUGAGUCGGGUCAGAAGGGAGUGGGAGACUACAGAAAGAUAGGAAGGGUGUUGAUCCAUCUGGAGAGACUACAGAAAGAUAGGGAGGGUGUUGAUCCAUCUGGAGAGACUACAGAAAGAUAGGGAGGGUGUUGAUCCACCUGGAGAGACUACAGAAAGAUAGGGAGGGUGUUGAUCCAUCUGGAGAGACUACAGAAAGAUAGGGACUGUGCCCUGCGACCCAAUGUACACCUGGCCCACCAUCGAUCUGGACUGUCUCUAUGACCAUGUUCACCUGUACAGGGAAACAGUCCCCAUCCUUGCCAAUACUCUCGAGGACGUCGCUUUAAACCGCAGUCCGACCUCUCCACCCAGGAACAGCAGAGCAAUCUCCACCCCGAAAAAGAUCACCGGGACAAUACCCCGGACCAGCACCCUGGAACUCACAGCCACGACCACAGCACCACCAACCUCAAUGCCUACCACAGCCAGCGCAGCACAGACCACCCCAGCCCAGCUUCAGAGCCACCCAGACGAGGCCUCCCUGCCCCCCACCGCAGACCCACACUUGGAGGAGGCGCAGGCACAGGCUGUGAGAGGAGCAACUGGCCCAGCUCCCACCAACCAAAUGAGUGACAUUAAACAUGCUGAGUCUACUAUGCUCACAUGUGAUAGGCCGAGGGUCAUGAUGCUAUCUUUGAGAAGAAAAAGAGCCAGGCUGGUUUACAGAGACCUGACUAGAGGCGUGACAGUGCCGACACCCCUGCCAUCAACUUGGAUCGCGAGUACUGGGAGAACAGAGCCGGUUCCCUCUGCAGCAGAAGUUGUGCCCAGCUGCAGUGAUGCACCUCUAUCAUAAAAGAAAAAAGGAAGGCAGCGGAUGGAAGGAGGGAGAUACUCUACAUGCCUGCAGUGGAGCUGGACUGUCCUCCACUCCACACCAUCAGCAGUGUAUGUAGUGUUUUGGAGGAGGCUGGGUUAUGGUGCGGUGGGAAUUGUGGCUCAGAUAAAUAACCAGUUGGAGUUAUGGAAGGUAAUGAAUUUGAACUUAUGUCAACAAACCUGUCAACUUCUGGCUUUAAACAAUUGCUUCCCAGUCAACAAUGUUGAUCAUGUAUAGGGCUGUGGCACUCACGAUAUUUUGUCAGCCGGUGUUUAUGAAGCAAAUGGCUGUCGCUCUCAUGGCAAUUGACCGUUAAUUGACCGUUAAAUUAACAAACACAUUUAGCAUCUUCCAGCUUGCAGACCUUUGGAAAAUCUACAUUUUUUUAAGUAUAAUAAAUGCAUGUAAUAUAGCCUACACCAUCACAAUAAAUCCAUUAUUUAUUUUUGGCAGGUCUAAAGAAGCAUGAUAUGAAGAAAAUGUAUAUUUCAGAAGAACAGAAUAGCAUACUGAGUUGUCCUCAUGUUAGGUCCUGAUGUGGCUAUGCCAAAUGGCUGUGGGCUACACUAGUUCAUUUAGCAGACAAGAUUUGCUUAUAAUUCCGUGGCAUUAUUUUAUAGUAUGAAGAAUAGAAUUGAAUCAAAUAUAAAUCAUAUUUUCUCCAAACGAUUUGAGGGAGUGCGCACAUGCGGCUAUUCUGUGUUGAGCGGUUAGGGAUAGGUACUGCUAUAUGCUUAAUUUAGAGUUAUUAAUAGAACUUUAGAAGUUGUGAUACAAACGUUGGGCGAUAUGUUUAAUGUUUAAUACAUUGUUAGGCUGCAUGAUGCAACUCUAAUGAUGAUUUGAAAAAAGUUGCUUGAAAGGCAUGUAGACACUACAUCGGUGUCUCAUUCACAAUUUGACAACCACUUGAUAAUGCCUUGAAUUUCAAGUCGGCAUCCCCUUUGUGUCGCUGUAAUGCACCCCAAAAAAACAUGCCUUUUGCAGCCAGUGGCCGUUGUGCCCUUCUCCCUAAACAUUUAUAUGCAAUGAGCCUGACCCAACAGAUCAGAAUUUUUAGCUUAAAAUGUUGGUAAACUAUUAGGCUAUUUCUUCACAUUAAAAACGCAGCAAUGCGCACACGGCAGUAGGUAAUAAGCGCUAAUGUUGCAUUAGCGGAAAACACCAUUAUCAAAAGUGACCACAAAUGCGAUUAUGCAGGUAAUGCUUUUAUUAUAAAGGUGCAUUUAUAUGGUGAAAAUGAUCUUCCCCAAUCUUGAAAGUCACGCGCUGUAUACCAGUUAGGCUGUUCACCCUUUGUAAAGCGGAUUUACGAUGCUUAAUUUUAAUAAAUUAAUUGGACACUUUAGUCGUGAUCCAAACCUUAUCAGAACAUAUAGGCCUAUGGGCUAGGCUACAAGGAUGUGUGCGUCUAUGAUUUGAGAAAGGCAUUGUUUCUUAUGCUGGGCAUCAUUCAAAAGUGAUAAUAUAUCAUAUAUAGCGAUAGGCUAAUAUUGUCACCCAUCAAGCUAUUCUUGAUUUAAUCUUCUCUUUACAUAUACUAAAUAAUAUUUGUGUGAAAUGUGUUUUUAGAAUGGACCGUUAUCAUGCACAUGUAUCGAAAUGGGCAGUGGGGGAAAAAAUGGAUGUAAUCUAUGCGUUAAAAUAGCGAAUGGAGGCCCAGUAGGCCUAGUCUAUAGAAAGCUGAUGGGAUCCUCCUCUUUUUAAUAAAGGCCAUCACUCUGUUUUCUCAAGCAAUUGCCUAUAGAAAUUUUGCGCAACAUGAACUCAUGGGAUCUCAUUAAGUGUUUGAUUUGAUUUUUGACACAUUUGCAUAGAUGUCAAAGUGAUUAGAGGGACAAUGGAGUGCUGAGUACCAGGCAGUUAGCCAGUUUGAUAGGCUACUAAUGACCAUCAGCAGCAUCAGAGCUUGGAGAAGCCUAAUUACCGUGACUAAAUGGUCACGUGGAAUUUGACUGCCUUCAUGACUCGUGACCUCCGGUGUGGCGGUAAUACGGUCACCGCAACACCCCAUGUCAUGUACAUACAGUUCACUUUCUAUAAAAGUUACAGUUCCCUGCAGUGGUAAGGUAAAUGUGACAAAAUCUCACGUGCCAAGCACAGAGUUGAUUUGGAGUUUUCUAAUAACUUGUGCAAUGAAAUAUCCCCCUGAUAGUGUAGUUUCAAAUCUGCAACUACUGUCGUCUGUUCUACAACAACUUUGUGUCUGCCUGUUUGUCUUAGUCAGGGCAGUUCAACCCAUGUGUUCCUGUGGUCCUACGAUGGGAGUGGAGGAGACAAGAUGACCAUGACUGUCACAGCCAGUACAACUCUAUUCUGACUGUUAACAUUAGAGGUAGGACUUAUAUUACAUUUGGAAACUAAGACGUCUGUGUCCUUCACCAUUUUGCAAAGAGUAUCAGAGCAUCCAGUGUAGCAACACCAUGUUCAGAGACAGUUUCUCCCUCAAGUCAUAAGACAGAGUAUCAGAGCAUCAAGUGUAGCAACACCAUGUUCAGAGACAGUUUCUCCCUCAAGUCAUAAGACAGAGUAUCAGAGCAUCCAGUGUAGCAACACCAUGUUCAGAGACAGUUUCUCCCUCAAGUCAUAAGACAGUAUCAGAGCAUCCAGUGUAGCAACACCAUGUUCAGAGACCGUUUCUCCCUCAAGUCAUAAGACAGAGUAUCAGAGCAUCCAGUGUAGCAACACCAUGUUCAGAGACCGUUUCUCCCUCAAGUCAUAAGACAGUAUCAGAGCAUCCAGUGUAGCAGCACCAUGUUCAGAGACAGUUUCUCCCUCAAGUCAUAAGACUGUUGAUGAAAACUGAACGGACUCUUUGCUGCUAUGGCAACUACUGUACUUAAUAUACUGUAAUCUACUUAUUUCAUUGUAUUGUGCACACUAUGCUGUAUUCCUGCGCAAAUGACAAUUUUGAUUUAAUUUGAUCUAGUUGACCAUAACCCUGUCCACUCUGUAGUUUUGAUGAAAAUAUGGAGUCAUUUUGAAAGUUCUUAGGAGACAUGCAUCUCACCAACAUCGGAUGUAAUGUUUAGCAAUGUAACGGAAUGUCUGGAAGAGCUCAUGAUGUCUGGCUGCAGUUUUAUAACUGUGAGCUGGAACCUGUCACUCUGAUCCUCCACAGACUGGCCUGCCACCCCCCAACUGUGAGCUGGAGCCUGUCACUCUGAUCCUCCACAGACUGGCCUGCCACCCCCCAACUGUGAGCUGGAACCUGUCACUCUGAUCCUCCACAGACUGGCCUGCCACCCCCCAACUGUGAGCUGGAGCCUGU
rnacentral:lncRNA from 13 species